AUUGUCUCAUAUCCACAGGACAUAGGCCAAUAAGCUGGUCACUCUAUUGGAUGAAAGUGGGCCAAAAGUGCCUGAUGAGCAAGAAGUAACGGGUUUCAUGGCUCUGGUUUUAACUGGCCGGGCCUGGAAGUGACAUCCAUCACUUCUCUUCAUGCUCCACUGGUCAGAAAUACUCACAUGGUUCCAGCUUACGUGAAGGGAUCUGUUGUGUGGCAGCACAUGGAUACAUGGUGCAUAUUAACAUCUCUACCACACAGAAGCAACACAGGAACUUAGAAAGCGGAAUGAAAUCACAGACCCUUUGAAAGAAGUGCUGGGCAGCAGCCUAUACCGUGAUCCAGGUGGAAAACUGGGAGCCUCCAGAGUGUGAGGGGGGAGAGAAUGCCGCCACGAUACACACUGCCAUGGAAGAUCGUGGCAAUCCAGGCCAUGAGGGGAAGACUUAACUCUAUCCAGAGUUGGAACUGAUUUAGUGGGUGUUGGGGAACAUAUGAGAAGGAGCAGCAUUUGGACAGCUUUGCAUGCUCUCCCAGACUCCAGCAGGGACAGAGGGAAGCCAUUUCUGAUCCUAUCUCACAGGGAAGAUUGCAGAAGUCUGCCAGCUAACUCAGGCGGCAGUCACAGGUCGAGAGAAGCUCCCUACUGAGAUUUGUGAUAUAAUCUUCAGUGGGGAUGAACCCCAUUGGCCAGAACUGAGGGGUAAGUGGGAAGCGUGCUAUAGCCACAAGCACAGAAGCUUAGGGCCUCUGCUUCAUGAGUGUGACCGGAAAGCCCAGUUUCUGUCUUGGUCAGGAAAGCUUAUGGCUUGAGGCAAUUUGAAGUUCUGACUGCAGACUGCCUGGAACACAGCUAACCGCUGCUAGCAGAACACUGCUGGUGUGAGACCCGCCUUGCCAAGUGUGUGGGAGCAGAGCAGGGCUUACCGCCACCUGCUAUACUCUACUCCCCGUGUGGAUUCUUUGGUGCAACAGAAGCAGCUGUGCUCCUCUGUGGAACAUUACCCCAGGGGCCAGGGAACUGACCUCUGAUUUCUACUGGGGCAGCUGCCUGUGACUCCACAUGGGAAGCCAGAGCACAGACUGCCUGACCCAGCGCCCGCCUGGCUUUGCUCCUCCUCCUGUCCCGGUAGGGUAACACAAUGGACAGAGACAUUUGAAAGUUCCAUGGCCCCACACGUUGCUUCAGACAGCAGAGCACCUCCUUGGGUAACAAAAGGCAAGCAAAAGUUCCACUGCUACUAUCAUAGCUUGUGGUCUUUUGCAAGCACCACCUCUUGGCUAGAGGUUAAAUGACACAACCCAAUACAAUAUCAGUCCGUUCCAUAACACCACGCUGACAAAGGAGAAAACUUUUGUGCAACCCCAGUUGGAACAGAGACUAACAUGACUGUGAUCACGCUGGCUAAUCAGGAGGUCUUGAAUCUGUCUACAUGACCAGUACAGCUGGCAUUUGUGAAGGUCACAACACUAGGGCUAUUUAUAACCAAGGAAUCUCACAGAAUUUACAUGACUCCUCUCUCACCCCUAUCAGAUCUGGUGCUGGGAGACUUGAAGGACAGGUCACAUCACUCGAUCCCUUGUAGACAUUCCCAGCACCAUAGUACGGCAGCCCCACCUGGUGGUUAGACCCAGAAGAGCAGCAGGAGUCACAGUAGACUGGUGCUCAGGGACUGUUACUCCCAGAAAAAGAGGGAAUGUACCACAUUAAGGGAGCAUUCCAUGGGACAAAAGAAACCAGACUGCAGGCCUUGAGUCCUUACCUUUUCACCGUGGAAAGUUCCUUUCAGCAGAGUCACAGGAGCAGUGCUGGACUCAGUGUGGAAAGUUUGUGGGGUCUUCCCCAACGGUUAGGCAUCCCUGGUGCAUGAAGGGUCUUGGAGAAGGGGACUUUGUGAUGGUUAAUUCUGUGUGCCAACUUGAUUGGAUUGAAGGAUGCAAAGUAUUGUUCCUGGGUGUGUCUGUG